CAGCCGCCGCGGGAAUACGAAGGGGGCUAGCGUUGCUCGGAAUUACUGGGCGUAAAGGGAGCGUAGGCGGACAUUUAAGUCAGGGGUGAAAUCCCAGAGCUCAACUCUGGAACUGCCUUUGAUACUGGGUGUCUUGAGUGUGAUAGAGGUAUGUGGAACUCCGAGUGUAGAGGUGAAAUUCGUAGAUAUUCGGAAGAACACCAGUGGCGAAGGCGACAUACUGGAUCAUUACUGACGCUGAGGCUCGAAAGCGUGGGGAGCAAACAGGAUUAGAUACCCGGGUAGUCCCUGUCUCUUAUAC
rnacentral:rRNA from 1 species